UCAUCUCUGUUUCUCCCACUGUCGUGAAGAUCAGAAGUAACUUACCUGGGUUGGUGAUGAAGCACAGGGACCGGCCGGUGCUCAGUGCGCAGAGGCUGGGAAGACUUUCUGGCCCAGAUAGGUGGGCCAAAGAUUGCCUAGGACAUCGUGUCUUCUUCCCAGUGGAAUUCCAACUGCAGAAGGUGCA